CUAGCCCCGCGCCCCGCGCCCUCUGUGGCCGGCCUCGGACCUCGCAGCGGGCAGCCCCGGCACCCGGGCCCGGCACCCCCUGGGCGCACAGCCGCCCCCGCGGAGAACUCCGCGGUGCUUACCCCUGAAUCGCGGACCAAAGUCCCAGCUCCUGCGGGCGGCCCCCCAGCCGCGCUUUGCGGAGGGCUGGGUGCCUCUGGGGCUGGGAGCAGGCAGGGCUGGGGUGGGGAUUGGCCAGCUCUCUUCCUUUACCCCUUCCUGACAGCCCGGUUUCUGGCUUCUGCGAAGUGCCCGUGGGUGUUUUUCCCUCCAGUGUUUACUGAGCGCCUCCCCUAUGCCAGGCGCCACAAGAAUUUAGAUAGCAAAGCAAGCCUUCUAUCAGUAGCUUGUACAAUCUGGUAAACUCUGCUCCGAGGCUCUGCACGUGGUAACUCAUUCGAUCCUCACGACUGCCUUAUGAAGGAGCUGUAUUACUACCGCUCAUUUUACAGAUGGGGAAACUGAGGCACAGAGGGGCAACUUGCUGAGAAUCACUCAGCAGGUGUGGGAUUUGAGUCUAGGCAACACAGACCACUAACCACUGGACACCAAAAGAGCCCAUGGGGAACCAGACGGUGGGAAAGAACACUGAGGAGUAAAGUAUUUCAGGUGAAGACAGAGGGAUGGCCCACAACUCUGAGCUAAGCACUGUGAACAAAGCCAGGAGACUGUGUCAAAGAGGCUGAGAGCUGAUCCUUUCUGCUACCACCCUUGGGGCAGAAUGACAUCCAAUCAUACCCCAGAAAUUUAUGCUGCGUGACUGUUGAAAGAAAGCGGCAACACCAGGGUGGAAAUCCUGGACUUCUGGAAGCUUGGUUUCCCUAAGAAGCAACCCACCUAUCCUGAGACCAUCACGCUUUGAGGCAGUGUCAGCUAACCACAGGGGAGGUCAUGUGGAGGAGAGCAGAGAAUUGCAGCCAACACAGAAGACCACGGCCUCAAAGUCAUGAUGGAAGUUGAACCAUUCCAAGCAGUCCCCACCCACUUGUGUCCAAAUGGAGCAAAGACAAGGCCAGGGCCGUUGUGCUGAAAAUGUAACUGACAGCCAUGUUUCCUGAUCAUGCUCAACUCAUUUUCUCUUUCUUGCGGAUGACUGCCACUCUCCUGUGUCCACACUCCACUUCUAUUGCCCUCGGCCUGGGUUAUCUUUCCUCUGCAUCCAACACAUCCCUUCCAAGAUUCAUCUUGAAUGCCACCUCUCCCGUUAAACCGCCAUUACACCGAGCCCGCAUAGUUGGCUAUUUUUUAAAUCAAACUGACUAUGGGAACAAAGACUCAUCUUCGCAUCCUAGCACCCUGCGCUAUGCCUUCUAAGGCUCUGGAUCAUUCCUUAGGAGGAAGGCAAAAAAUUAAAUGAAAAUGAAAAAUGUGAUGAGUCAAGUCUUGUUGAAAUGCAGACUCUGCUCCAGUAGUCAGUUGGGAGAUCACGAUGACCUUGCAUCUUGUCUGGAAACCUCCCUUGGUAGCUUUGCUAUGGUUUUUGAGAACAAAGCAGGGUCCGGAGAAGGAAAAAUUGAUUCCCAGAAGGGGAAUUACAAGGUCAAAGAACAUGAUAUGUAGACACUGUGGAUGAGCACAGCCAAAUUGCCCUUUAGAAAGAUUGAACAGUCUACACCAUGUCUGGGCAUAUUUCUCAAUCCCGUGGCUGAGUCUUCCUGGACUUUAAACAGGAAUCGUUUUAAAAAUUGACCUUUGGGGCCUGUCACCAGCCCUCUAAGAUGAAGGAUGAGUAGAGGGGAAUCACUUUCCCUUUCUGCCUCUCUGGCUCAUACCCAUUACCUCCCCCUGGAUCCAACCUAAAAUGUAAUGAAUCCAAAAAAUACGUUGAGCGUAUAGAUGGGAAAGAGGACGAUUCUGGAAAAGUGGAAAGGCUCUGAAUGGGCUCCGGUGAAACCUGAUCUUGCCUCUCCCCCUUUCCACCGAUGGCCAGGUUCUUCUAGAAAAAACAAAAAUACACUCUUCAUUCAUUUUCAUAUGUUCGCUCUUCCUAUCAGAAAUUGUUUUUAAAUACAGAAUAGUGAAAGUGAACAAAGUGACAGCCAUCCACGUUCCCAGCACUCAGCAUUAACCACUGUUGGCAUUUAGGCGUAUUUGUCUAUACUGGAAAAUUAGACAAACACUAUAUGAAUAUAUAAUUUUGUUAUUUUAUUUUAAAAUUCAGAUAUUACAGAUAAGCCUCAAGACUUCUUUAUCCUCAUCCCACCCCCCUCUUCCCUUUCCUAGAGGUCUCCUGGUGUCAGUUUUGUGACAGUGUUUCCAAUCCUUAAUAGGAAGAUAUUUUUAUAUGCAUAGAUUUGGCUCCUAGAAAUAUAGAAUAUUGCCAUUUUGCAUUUGGUCAGUUUCACACACAGAGUAACUGGAAGAUGAAUCAUCGUUGCCUCUUGUUUUUUCCCCCACUUCACUCUAU